UGCAGAAAAUAAAUGAUAUCAGUUAAUGAUCAAUUAAAAAACUAAUUAACUUGUUUACAUUACUCAAAAGUUACCAUAUCACUGUUCCCAUCUUAACCCUCAAGAUUUCAAAUAACAAGUAAUCUUUACCAUAUCCUUUUGACCAUUUAUAAGAGAGUUGUGAUCAGAAAUAGACUUUGCUUUACAUGUAAAAUUUUUCAAUUGUGAAUGAUACCACUUUUAUUAUUGCAUUCAUUAGGGCUAUUUUUUAAUGUUUUAGUAUUUGACCGUCAACAUAUCUUCAGGAUUUAAAUAUGUCAUCUGUCAUCAAUUUUUUUACGGCGAUUCCGGCAUUUUAUGUGAGAUCGAUGAAAUGGAUCCAGACGAGUUGUCCUUGGUUGUAUAGAGGUUUAGUUUUCAUUCGUGGCGCAAUAUGGGAAUUCAUUCGUGUGAUGAUUACCAAUUGUAUCAAUGAUUAUAUCGAGGCAUACAGAAAAGAUGGGGUCAAAGGAGUUGCGAAAGCCGUUGGUGAAAGUAUUCGUGAAAUAUUUGGUAAAUUAUUUGGAAGUGCACGGAAUGCAGUAGUUUACGCUGGUAGAUUGUUCACCCGUAAGGAAAUAACAGAAAUGUUCACGGAGCCCACUAAUUUGACAGAA